GCACGAGACAACGUGUUUAAUAUUUACAAAUUAUAAUAAUCCAUGGUGGUGUUCGCGACUCUCAGCAAGGGUAUUCGGAAAGUCAAAUCGCGAUCUGGAGUAUGUUAUUUAAAUUUCUGUGACGUCAAAAUACGUCAUAAAUCUGAAAAUCCGUACAUGCUAAAUCGAGUUGUCGUUCGGCUAUACAUAACUCGGCCGGAAACGGACUGGUGCGAGAAAAACACAUCGUCAAGAAUAGUGUG